UAAGUUUUUAGUGAAUUUACCCUAGAAAAACUUGAAUUUUUAGGGAAAAGUACAACUUGCCCUUUAAUAAAUAACCCCAGUACACUCACGUUUAUUAUUGCUAUAAAUUAUAAAUAUUGCCCAAAGCUUGGGCAAUCAUAAAUGGGUCCCCCAUGUUAAAUAUGUGGAACUGUAGUAGAAGAGAAAAGAAUACUAAAACCUCAUUCAUCUUAUUGAAGUAAAAAUCAGAUUUUAGCAUUAUAUUCAGAUCAAAUAAAUGUAUCAUGUGGUAUAACUUAUGAGGAAGCUAUACUGUAAAUGCCAUGCUCUGCUCAACCUCUGACUGUGAGGGGAGGAUGUCCAUAAAAUCAGAUGCUCACCUAGGCAUGCAUGUAAUAUGGAAACAGACUAGAGAUGCUGUGAGUUGUCAUCUACAGCUAUCUUUCACUUUAUAAAUACAAAAACCUCCCUAAAUACUAGUCUUUUUAAGCUGAGAAUUUAAACAUUUUGUUUGGCCUUUGAAUGUAUAAACUCUUAAUUUAGAACAUCAUGAAUGCAGCAGAUUUUGCCUUGUCCAUAGAAUAAGCAUUCAUGGCUUUUGAACAAUCUUUCUAAUAGUUUUUUUUUUUAUGACAGAAUUAUUACUGGAUAAGUAACCAUCACUUUCCCUUCAAAAACUGCCUUUAUAAGUCUUGCCCAUUAGCCAUGCACAUAAGAUGGUAUAGAUGCAAUUCUUUGUCUGACUGCUGUAUCUCCCUCAAUUAUUAAGCAGAUUAGAGCACAGUGCUAGGAGGAAUACAUUAGUGUUUCCAGUCCAAUGCCCCUUCCCUUUGGCUGAUGAGAUAUGAAAGAAAUAGUCUCUUCAACCAUAGUUUUUAAAAAGUGAUUUGUAUUAAUUGACCUUAUUUUACCUAAGAAAUGCCAAGCUAGCAUUAAAACAGUUUAAAUAUUCUCUUGAAUGUGUGUUUAGUAAUGUCUAGUUUUCACACUUUUAUAUAGAGAACAUUCCCUAAUUAUAUUUUCUUGAAUUAAAAGAAUACAGACAUUGUAAAAAAAUAAAAACCAUGUAUCUGUCAUAAUGCUGUAUUAUCUAUCAUAUGUAUGUCAUCCUCCGAAACCAUUUCGAAGGUUAGCUUUUAUUAAAGCAUGCCAAUUCUUAGCAGUACAGCCACUUUUGACCCUGACCCAUUAAAGAGUACUUUAAGUUAGAUUUUUGCCAACAUAUAUCCCUUAUUGCUGCCCCCUAAAUAUUCCUGUAUUUCAAUCUGGAAUAGUUCAAAAAUAUCAAACAAUCUAGUUUGUACUAAUGAGCGGGUUGACCUGAAACCUACAGGAUUUGCAGGUUGGGGGCCAAGACGAUGAGCCCUGGGUGUGGAUCAAACUUCAAGUAGGGUCCUUUGCUAAUAGCAAUGACCCUAUCCUAUGUUGACUGAUCCCCCACAUAUAAAUAAGUCAUCAGAGUAAAGUUAGGUUAGGUGCGGGAAGAGGAGCUGGAAUCACAAGGGUAGAAAAACACUCUCAAUCACUCCAUGUGCUAUUGCCCUUCGAGCAGUGGCUCCUAACCUGUGGGGUUGGCCCCCAUAGGUGGGCUGAAAUCAAUUUAAUAAUGUCUUGUAUAUCCCUUGAACUAUAGAAGUGAUUUUUAGUACUAUUUUUUGAGCUAUGGUUAGGGGGCCUGAGACCUACCGUGCUCACCAAAUAAUCGGAUCUUAGUAUGAUUUUUCCACCCAUAUGCUGGACUAGUAAUGAACUUAUUUUGUAGGUUUCUGCAGACUUGACAGGAGAGGAAUAUAUCAAUAUGCCAAUGUGGUCCAUCUGGAUUUUCUAACCUGCUAAAUAUCUGGCCCAUGCACAGGUCAAGCUGCUGACUCGGUUUGGUGAGGAUGAGUCAAACACUUUUUUAUUGGCUUGUCCAGUUUUAUAGAAGACAUCAUGAGUGUUACAUUUAAUUUUACUUUAAAAACAAUUGUUGAUUUUAUAUUCUUACUUCACGGAUGGUAUAUUCAUUAUAACUGAUCUUGGUGUGUGCUAAUAUUAAAAAUAGGGUACAGGUGUAGGGUAUGCUUACUUUUGCAGAGGUCUUCCGAAGCAUCCUGCAAAAUAAGUAGUUAAUUAAAAACCAUAAGACUGACCAAAUUAAAAAGUCUUGACUACACAAGCAUUUUGAGGUAGAAGUGCCUGCCUUUGAAUAUGCAGUCCACCAUCAGUGGAUGUGCACUGAUGUACCUCCAUUGUGAUUGAACGUUUACCAUGUUCACAGGUAGGUACUGAUAAUCAGUGACUUUGUGAGAGCUAACCUAAAGUGCCAAAGACAUGGCUGUACUUCAACUAGGGAUGCACCGAAUCCACUAUUUUGGGAUUCGCCGGAAUCCUUGGUGAAAGAUUUGGCCAAAUACCGAACCCUAAUUUGCAUAUUCAAAUUAGGGCUAGGAAGAGCCAAAGAGAACCGUGCUUGUGGAACGUGGUUAAAAAUCUUUUUACUUCCUUGUUUGUGUGACAAAAGUCACAUGAUUUUAAGGAUUCGAUUCAAACCGAAUCCAGGAUUCAAAUGCAUUCCUAACUUCAACAGAGUUUACACUAAAAAUAAACACGUUUUUCAAAUGUGGGGUAAAAGAUCAAAAAAUUUUCAUCUACAAUAAAAGGGAAUAGCUAAAUAUAAUUAAGAAUAGCUGUGUCUGUGAUGAUCCUGUACACUUUCUGGCAUUCCUUAUCACCAAUUUAAUGUAGACCUUGAUUUAUCCAGGAGAAAUACUGCCAAGAGCUAUGAAUAGCUUCCUGUCAUUUCUAAAAGCUUUUGUUCUGCUGUUCUUCUUGUCUCUCCAUGUGCCUGAGCCUCUCUUGGCAUAAAGGGGACAAGCACAGGAAUCAGGUGACUUGUUGCCUGCUGGCCUCAUAUUCUCUAGAUUUCCAAACUGCAAGGAAGAAUGAGGGAUAAAAAAGUCACUUUUUUCUUAUUGAUCUCUUUGUCUGUAGAAUAAAAGCAGAAAGAUGGUAGAGAAUCGGAUAAUGAGCACUUUAUAUAGAAGCAAUCCUCUUCCUUUUUUUUUUUUUUUUUUUUUUAACUCCUUGCUUGUUAGUUAAGCAUUCAGCAGAAACAUAAUGCUUCAAUUCAGGUUUUCUGGCAUAUAUGCACCAUGAAGUCAAUAUGUGUGUGUAUGAUAUGAGGAACAUGAUAUGGUACAUGUCGAAAAGGUUUUUUUAUGCAUCAGUAAAGGACAAGAAAAGUGAAGGAGUACCGGGGGGUGACAAUAUGUUAGCUUUCUUUAGGCUAGUGCCACACAGGGACUGAAAUCUGCCUGCUAAAAUAGGCCGAAAAUCAGCAUUAGACUCUUUACCUGUUUGUACUCAGAAGUGUUGUGUCGGCUCAGGGUCAAGUAAACCCUCCCUGGCAAACAUUUGCUUUUAGUUUCCGUGUUCAGGUCUCCCGGAUCUGUUUUUAACUUGUUGGAGCACAGCAGUCUAGUGACGGUUUUUCUGAUCAGCAUUCUCCGCUUCCCUGCAUAUCUUGAUCAGAAAACACUGCGACACACUGAUGUUUACCAAAAGAAGCAACCAUGCCGACCAGCAAACGUCAAGGGGCACCAAAAUCAGUGCCUCGCUUGGUGAAAGUCAUUCAGGAGAAUUCUCCCUACUUUCAAAUCAUCAUCCCCAAUGAUGUGUGUAACAAAGUUGCUCCAGGCAUGCCAUCUCUAUUCCGUAUUCUUUUCACUCCUGAGAAGAACAAGGACUAUUUCCAUGAACUUGUUUGUGUCACAGAACGAGAGAAAUGUGUUGUUCCUGUUCAGGCUAUUGGAGCACGUGCAUUGCUGGACUUUCCAGACCAACUAUAUUUUCCGCUUUGUGCAAUCAAGUACAACUCACAGAAAAAACUUUUUGUGUGGAACAUUGGGAACCUCGAGGCGAGAUUUCAGUUCUUCACUCAAUGGCACAGUAGUGGAGAUAACAGUGAGUAAAGAUUACAGUCAUUUCUUAGUCAGCAUGUUGACUUCUGUACAUUUUAGAAAUAAUGCACAAAUAAUUAAAUCACUAGUGCUUAUAAAUUUUGCAUACCAUCUCUCAGCAAACUGCUAGUAAUGAACAGAGCUCAACAAAAAAUCUGGACCUGGACCAGAAUCUGAACAGAGCUGGCAAGCAAACUCUGACAUCAAUGGAAGGGAAGAGGCAGGCACAACUAUAUGAAUGAGUGAUGGACUGCUGGAGGAGGAAUAGGGGCAUGAUAACUUUGCAGGUGGGGAGGCAGAGUUUGGCCUGCAACCUUCUAAAAAAGUGUUGCACUGGCUCAAACUUGACCAACCUUUCUUAGUUUAGCAUUGGUUCAUUUUUCUGAAGUCACCCAAAGUUUUCUGUUGAGUCAAC